rnacentral:rRNA from 1 species
GACGAACGCUGGCGGCGUGCUUAACACAUGCAAGUCGAACGGAAAGGCCCUGCUUUUGUGGGGUGCCCGAGUGGCGCACGGGUGUGUAACACGUGAGUAACCUUCCCUGGACUUUGGGAUAACUUCAGGAAACUGCUGCUACUACCUGAUUGCAGCUCCAGCUGCAGGGUGGGGUUCGGAAAGUUUGGGCGGAAGUGGAUGGACUCGCGGGUAACCAGCUUGUGGGUGGGGUAGUGGCUUACCGAGGCUUUGACGGCUAGCCGGCCUGAGAGGGUGACCGGCGACCAUGGUACUGAGAUACGCCGCAGACUGCUACAGGAGGCAGCAGUGGGGAAUAUUGCACAAUGGGCGGACGCCUGAUGAAGCAACGCCGCGUGCGGGAAGAAGGCCUUGGGGGUGGAAACCGCUUUCGCCUGUGACGAAGCGUGAGUGACGGUAAUGAGUAAAGAAGCACCGGCUAACUACGUG